rnacentral:rRNA from 1 species
UGGCGAACGGGUGAGUAACACGUGGGUAACCUGCCCAUCAGAAGGGGAUAACACUUGGAAACAGGUGCUAAUACCGUAUAACACUAUUUUCCGCAUGGAAGAAAGUUGAAAGGCGCUUUUGCGUCACUGAUGGAUGGACCCGCGGUGCAUUAGCUAGUUGGUGAGGUAACGGCUCACCAAGGCAACGAUGCAUAGCCGACCUGAGAGGGUGAUCGGCCACACUGGGACUGAGCCACGGCCCAGACUCCUACGGGAGGCAGCAGUAGGGAAUCUUCGGCAAUGGACGAAAGUCUGACCGAGCAACGCCGCGUGAGUGAAGAAGGUUUUCGGAUCGUAAAACUCUGUUGUUAGAGAAGAACAAGGAUGAGAGUAAAACGUUCAUCCCUUGACGGAUCUAACCAGA